AGCGUAGGCGGACUUUUAAGUGGGAUGUGAAAUACUCAGGCUCAACCUGGGGGCUGCAUUCCAAACUGGAAGUCUAGAGUGCAGGAGAGGAGAGUGGAAUUCCUAGUGUAGCGGUGAAAUGCGUAGAGAUUAGGAAGAACACCAGUGGCGAAGGCGACUCUCUGGACUGUAACUGACGCUGAGGCUCGAAAGCGUGGGGAGCAAACAGGAUUAGAUACCCUGGUA
rnacentral:rRNA from 1 species